AGUGCGCCUUGUUUUAGAGAGAAGGCCGAAUGGCCUUUUCUUUUCAUUUUUCGAAAAGAGGCAGGGCCUUUUCUUCUUAUUUUUCUUAAUGAUUGUUAUAGAAAAUCUUUGAUCUACGAAUAUCCAACGGUCCGAUCUUCAAUCUGAUUUCGGUAACGUGAUCUACGAAACCCGAUCUACGUACUACCGAUUGGUUUGAGGAUUUGUUGUGGGGAGUUUGCUAAACACUCUCCAAGUGUUGAAUUUACAUUUGGUGAAAUUUUUGACGUUUAUACUUUGAUUGCAGGUUUUGCGAAUAUAGAUAUUGACUCGUCCACCUAGCACAUGGGAUGCUAUGAUUGGAGCAUAUCGCGAUAGUCAUAAGUCACGGACUCAUGGGUAGUCCGUAUUUUGGGUAUUUUAUUUAUGCCUCGUGUCCUACGUGGCACAUGUAUUUGUUGAACCUGUGUUAUGGUAUGUAAUUUUAUAAGCCUUAAAUAGAUAGACUUGUAAAUGGCUCUUGUUGUAAAUAACUGUCAUGUAUUAGAUGUAUUUCCGCUUAUGAUGUGUUCCGUUGCACAUUGAUUAUUUA